rnacentral:rRNA from 1 species
UACGGAGGGUGCGAGCGUUGUCCGGAAUCACUGGGCGUAAAGGGCGCGUAGGUGGCGCAGGAGGUCAACGGUGAAAGUUCGGGGCUCAACCCUGAAUCGGCCGUCGAUACUCCUGGGCUCGAGCACUGUAGAGGCAGAUGGAAUUCCGGGUGUAGCGGUGGAAUGCGUAGAGAUCCGGAAGAACACCGGUGGCGAAGGCGGUCUGCUGGGCAGUUGCUGGACACUGAGGC